AGCUGGCGGGGCCGCUCGUCUCGCGGAGAUAAUAGAGCUGCGGCGGCCGCUCCGGCCCCACCGGGAGUGCACCGCGACCUGCUCGCCCCGCAGGGGCAGGGAAACGGGCAGAAACCCGGGCUGGAACGUGCGGAAGUAGCGUAAAGUACUCUGCGAAAUAACGGGUCGUUUUAAAACCCUCCCUUUGAAAUUAUGGAGUCAGUAAACUACCGCAAACCGAAUCUCUGUCCGCAGAUUGCAAGGGAGCGUUUCGCCUCUCCAGACCCGGGGCGCGCGUUGGGCAGACGUUCCGGUAGGAUUUCGCACGGAUUUAUUUACACCUUCCCUUGGCAGAAGGACAGGAGAGUUGGCGGGUGCUUUAUUCAAAUUGCGGUGGCCCCUCUCGAAGCCGCUGUGCUUGACAGAGGUUGCAGUUCUGAUACCACACGCAGGCUGGAGUGCAUAGCUGUAUUUUGCCUUUUAAAUAACAGGUUAUCCUUUUUAUAAAUUAAUUUCAGCCUAAUGGCUUCUGUUAGGUCUCAAGGCUUCAGUGCAGAACUAGCAGGAACUAAAAAUACGUAACGUAGCACACAGAACUCUUCCCCAGCCUACUUACACAGUACCCAGCCGACUGUUUAUUCUUUGUGACUCAGAAGAGUAGGAUAUGCAGAUAACCAGACAAAUAAACAUCCACUUCCAGUUUCCUUCUUGAGAAUGUUAAUUUGUUUUCCUUAUGGGUAGACAGAAGCACAAAAUAAUGACCUUUCGUGCUAGAGUCAAGUUAAAAUUCUGACAUUAUAAAAAAAGAUGCAACCUGAGGUAAGACCCCUUGAACGUAGGAUUUAAAUUUGUCAAAGGCGCAGUGAAGAACUGGAGAAUAAAAUGGACUUUCUUUGUGUUCCUCCGCUCAGCAGGGGCCUUGCUUUGACUUGGAGACUUGCUGUUAUCAUAGCACGUAUUCAUUAUCACCUGCAACAGCAGUAUGAAAUAUAUUCCGAGGUAACUUUCCCUGUAAAUAAUGAACAAUUAAAUUCCUGUAAUUCAGGUUUACAGUAUGAAAAAUCGCACUGCAUUCGAGCAAAAAAUUCAGGAACUUGGUUCAUAGCGAAUAUUUGAAGAGGCAGAUAUUUUAUAAAAAGAUUAAAAUUGACUGAAAAUAUUUAAGAAAAACCCAAUUAAUUGGUUGAAGAAUCAAUAGUAGGUUUCUGUCUGUACAAGCCGUGGUACUAUCUUUCAGGAAAUGCAAAAAGCAUUCUGAUUUACACAAAUUGUGAAGUCUAAUAUUGGGCUGUUAAGUGCACUGAAUUUUGUAUUAUUCAUUUGCUGUGUACAAUAAACUACCUGUGGUGUAAAGGCUAUUGAUUCUUUUGCAUUAGAGCGCAGUAUAAUGGUCCACAUUAAUGUGUUUCAAAAAGAUUUUUAAAACUAAGUGUUGUCUUAUGUUCUAGAAAAGACUUCUAAUGUAUUGGUUAUAUACACUCGGAUCUAAAUCAAACCUACUGGUACGUGUGUAUAUUUGCUUAAUUACCACAGUCUUCACGGAGUUGGACGGCAGGUGAAGCUGGUCCCUGGGACCUUUUCUAAUGGUAUUUGUACGUCUGAGCACAGAGAAAGGCUCCGCCGAUACCCGCAGCGCAGCGCAGCGGGGUCCGUCACCGCACCGAGGGGUUAUAAGCAUUUGUCGUUCUCCUCGACACCCCCCUCGAACAGUGUCCGAGGUCUAAGCUCUGCUGACACAAUGGCAUUCAUACCACACUCCUGCUCCGUUCCGUAAUGACAAAAUGGCUGGCCUCAGAAACACUGCAUUUACUUCUACAGUAAUCAGGUGUCCCAGAGGGACUGCAGGGGCAACGUGCCUGAUGGAAAGAGAAGUCUUUAAGAACUGGGAGACUCUCAAGACCGGAAUUUAGUUUUCUGCUUCUUAAACAACCUUUUUGUAAGCCUCAUGUUAGCCUGUAUGAAUUUAUGAAUAUAAAGACUCUUUGUUACCGAACAGUUUUUAGCAACUGCUGCUCUAUUUCCUUCCCAUGAGUCACGCUAUUAG